rnacentral:rRNA from 1 species
AACAGGAUUAGAUACCCUGGUAGUCCACGCUGUAAACGAUGUCGACUUGGAGGUUGUGCCCUUGAGGCGUGGCUUCCGGAGCUAACGCGUUAAGUCGACCGCCUGGGGAGUACGGCCGCAAGGUUAAAACUCAAAUGAAUUGACGGGGGCCCGCACAAGCGGUGGAGCAUGUGGUUUAAUUCGAUGCAACGCGAAGAACCUUACCUACUCUUGACAUCCAGAGAAUUUGCUAGAGAUAGCUUAGUGCCUUCGGGAACUCUGAGACAGGUGCUGCAUGGCUGUCGUCAGCUCGUGUUGUGAAAUGUUGGGUUAAGUCCCGCAACGAGCGCAACCCUUAUCCUUUGUUGCCAGCACGUAAUGGUGGGAACUCAAAGGAGACUGCCGGUGAUAAACCGGAGGAAGGUGGGGAUGACGUCAAGUCAUCAUGGCCCUUACGAGUAGGGCUACACACGUGCUACAAUGGCAUAUACAAAGAGAAGCGAACUCGCGAGAGCAAGCGGACCUCAUAAAGUAUGUCGUAGUCCGGAUUGGAGUCUGCAACUCGACUCCAUGAAGUCGGAAUCGCUAGUAAUCGUAGAUCAGAAUGCUACGGUGAAUACGUUCCCGGGCCUUGUACACACCGCCCGUCACACCAUGGGAGUGGGUUGCAAAAGAAGUAGGUAGCUUAACCUUCGGGAGGGCGCAUACCACUUUGUGAUUCAUGACUGGGGUGAAGUCGUAACAAGGUAACC